rnacentral:rRNA from 1 species
CGGGGUGCACCAGGCGCGAAACCUCUGCAAUAGGCGAAAGCCUGACAGGGUUACUCUGAGUGACUUUCGUUAAGAGAGUCUUUUGGCACCUCUAAAAAGGGUGUAGAAUAAGGGGUGGGCAAGUCUGGUGUCAGCCGCCGCGGUAAUACCAGCACCCCGAGUGGUCGGGACGAUUAUUGGGCCUAAAGCAUCCGUAGCCGGUUCUGCAAGUCCUCCGUUAAAUCCAACUGCUUAACAGAUGGGCCGCGGAGGAUACUACAGAGCUAGGAGGCAGGAGAGGCAAGCGGUACUCAGUGGGUAGGGGUAAAAUCCGUUGAUCCAUUGAAGACCACCAGUGGCGAAGGCGGCUUGCCAGAAUGCGCUCGACGGUGAGGGAUGAAAGCUGGGGGAGCAAACCGGAUUAGAUACCCGGGUAGUCCCAGCCGUAAACGAUGCAGACUCGGUGAUGGGUUGGCUUCGUGCUAACCCAGUGCUGCAGGGAAGCCGUUAAGUCUGCCGCCUGGGUAGUACGGUCGCAAGACUGAAACUUAAAGGAAUUGGCGGGG